rnacentral:rRNA from 1 species
GAUCCUGGCUCAGGACGAACGCUGGCGGCGCGCCUAACACAUGCAAGUCGAACGGAGCUAUAUUGAAAGCUUGCUGGAUAUAUAGCUUAGUGGCGGACGGGUGAGUAACACGUGAGCAACCUGCCUUUCAGAGUGGAAUAACGUUUGGAAACGAACGCUAAUACCGCAUAAUGUCAGAAGAUGGCAUCGUCUUUUGACCAAAGAUUUAUCGCUGAAAGAUGGGCUCGCGGCCG